UCGGGGAUCGGCUAAAGGUAAGCUGCCUGACUUUGAAUCAGGUGACGAGGGUUCGAAUCCUUCUCCCCGAGCUA
rnacentral:tRNA from 2 species